rnacentral:lncRNA from 1 species
UGCCAUUCAUUAAACUGGAUGAAAAAUUCUUAGGUUAUUCAGCAAAAUACAACCUUGAGAGUAAACAUCACAGACGUAAUAGGCACUGAACCUUCCACUUCUGCACAGUGCGACACAUACUCAAACGCAUCCUAACACUCUAAACACUAAACUAACAUAUAAACAAAAAGAAGAAACACAAAGAAAAGAAAAACGUUUCCUGCAUCCCUGAAUGUCUCGCUCUCUCUCUUUAAGCCAAUGCUACUGUUACACAAAAAAAAAAAAAAACCUCGGUGGAAAACCCAGAAUGCAAAGCGCAGGUGGAAGUCAGCGAGUUCUCACUCUCCAGCUCUUCCUCCUUAUUAGUGCGCGCCCCCAGCUCGCUGGGCCUGGCGUGGGGCCAGCGCGGCUCAGAUCCUGGGCCUUCUUUUGUGGUGUGUGCCGGAGUAGAUGGAGCUUCUGCGUCGGGGUUGCUGUCCUAGAGCCAUGUUGGAAAAGACUGGAGCACUUCGGAAAGGGUUGGAGGCUGGUGCGCAGAGGAGGGGAGGGUGACCCUGGCGUGUGAUGUACGUGCAGAGGGGUCGCGGCGCGGGUGGACAGCACCAGACAAAGGAGUGCGACCCUGCCACAGGCACGGACACCUGGCCUGACAGAGCGGGAGAGGAUGGCACGGGCGCACACAAAAGGACCUCGGCCAGAAACAGGAAGGGCGGCUUCCAGGGAGUUCUCCCUUUGUCCGUGCCCUUUACCGCUGGGAUUAAUCUAAUUGUUUAUCUCUGGACACUUUCCUGCUUUCGUUCCCUUCUGCCUCAUUAUGUGCCAAGAUUUGACGAGUCAAGUCUCCACACACUCUCCAAUCACGCUUUACAACAUGUCGAUUUGCAGAACACUACAGAUGGCCUGCUUCUCAUCAGACCCUCCCACGUGGAAUGUUACAAACACAACAACACUAAACACACACACACACACAUACACACAUACACACAGACACACAUACACAGAGAGAAAGAGAGACACACGCAAACUCCCGCACACACUUUCGCACGCACACACACAUUCGCACACUCAAAAAAAAAAAGAUCUAGAACAUUCAGAGCGGCUUUCUUCCAUCCUGCAG